UAUCACUCCUUUGUCCCCACUGACCAGCCUGUCCUCCGCGUGCCGCUGCCAGCCCUGGUUUCUCGGAUAUCAGCGAGUUGAAACAUCUCGAAGACAAGCCACAGAUGCUCUCUCUGGACCUUCCAUCACAUUUCAGAGGAAAACAAGGCAAAACAAAACAAAUAGCCAGGGACUUCUGCAACUUUGCGCAUGGAACCAUUUUGGCGAGGGGGAUUUUCUGCAAUCGUUGGGAAUUCUUUGCCAAGCUCGAAAAACCCAAGCUACAAAUCA